rnacentral:rRNA from 1 species
UACAGAGGUCUCAAGCGUUGUUCGGAUUCAUUGGGCGUAACGGGUGCGUAGGCGGCGCGGUAAGUCGGGUGUGAAAUCUCGGAGCUUAACUCCGAAACUGCAUUCGAUACUGCCGUGCUUGAGGACUGGAGAGGAGACUGGAAUUUACGGUGUAGCGGUGAAAUGCGUAGAUAUCGUAAGGAAGACCAGUGGCGAAGGCGGGUCUCUGGGCCGAUACUGACGCUGAGGAGCGAAAGCGUGGGGAGCGAACAGG